AUUGAACGCUGGCGGCAUGCCUUACACAUGCAAGUCGAACGGCAGCACGGGUGCUUGCACCUGGUGGCGAGUGGCGAACGGGUGAGUAAUACAUCGGAACAUGUCCUGUAGUGGGGGAUAGCCCGGCGAAAGCCGGAUUAAUACCGCAUACGAUCUACGGAUGAAAGCGGGGGACCUUCGGGCCUCGCGCUAUAGGGUUGGCCGAUGGCUGAUUAGCUAGUUGGUGGGGUAAAGGCCUACCAAGGCGACGAUCAGUAGCUGGUCUGAGAGGACGACCAGCCACACUGGGACUGAGACACGGCCCAGACUCCUACGGGAGGCAGCAGUGGGGAAUUUUGGACAAUGGGCGAAAGCCUGAUCCAGCAAUGCCGCGUGUGUGAAGAAGGCCUUCGGGUUGUAAAGCACUUUUGUCCGGAAAGAAAGCCUUGGCCCUAAUACGGUCGGGGGAUGACGGUACCGGAAGAAUAAGCACCGGCUAACUACGU
rnacentral:rRNA from 1 species